GAUGAACGCUGGCGGCGUGCUUAACACAUGCAAGUCGAACGGGAAACCUUUUAAUGAAGCUCCGGCAGAUUUAGCUGGUUUCUAGUGGCGGACGGGUGAGUAACGCGUGGGUAACCUGCCUUAUACAGGGGGAUAACAGUCAGAAAUGACUGCUAAUACCGCAUAAGCGCACAGGACCGCAUGGUCCGGUGUGAAAAACUCCGGUGGUAUAAGAUGGACCCGCGUUGGAUUAGCUUGUUGGUGGGGUAACGGCUCACCAAGGCGACGAUCCAUAGCCGGCCUGAGAGGGUGAACGGCCACAUUGGGACUGAGACACGGCCCAGACUCCUACGUGAAGCAGCAGUGGGGAAUAUUGCACAAUGGGGGAAACCCUGAUGCAGCGACGCCGCGUGAAGGAAGAAGUAUCUCGGUAUGUAAACUUCUAUCAGCAGGGAAGAUAGUGACGGUACCUGACUAAGAAGCCCCGGCUAACUACGUG
rnacentral:rRNA from 1 species